UACGGAGGUCUCAAGCGUUGUUCGGAUUCAUUGGGCGUAAAGGGUGCGUAGGUGGCGCCAUAAGUCAGGUGUGAAAUUUCGGAGCUUAACUCCGAAACUGCAUUUGACUACUGGUGGUGCUUGAGGACUGGAGAGGAGACUGGAAUUUACGGUGUAGCAGUGAAAUGCGUAGAGAUCGUAAGGAAGACCAGUGGCGAAGGCGGGUCUCGUGGACAGUUCCUGACACUGAGGCACGAAGGCCAGGGGAGCAAACGGG
rnacentral:rRNA from 1 species